rnacentral:misc_RNA from 1 species
AAUCAGUUCUAAACUGCACGACAAACGAGACGGACGUCGUGGAGCUAAAAUUUAAUUAAUCCCCUGAAGACGAUCUCCGGAGGAGAUUUAAAUAUAUUGGGAAGGAAUGUAAUUUCAUGUGUUUUAAUUCCAUCAACACCCUGAUCUCAAAGCCGGCAUUAAAAAGGAUUACUUGAUUAAAAAUCAAAAAGGUCGCAGUACAAAACGGUUACAGAUUUAUUUUAUUAAAAAACUAUUAAAACCAGUAGGCAUUGGAGUUCUACUGUGAAUAUCUACUAAAUGGUUAGAGUAAUCGAUUAACUACCUCAGACCUUUUUUGUAGAGCAUUUAA